AACGAACGCUGGCGGCAUGCCUAACACAUGCAAGUCGAACGAGACCUUCGGGUCUAGUGGCGCACGGGUGCGUAACGCGUGGGAACCUGCCCUUAGGUUCGGAAUAACUCCCCGAAAGGGGUGCUAAUACCGGAUAAUGUCUUCGGACCAAAGAUUUAUCGCCUUUGGAUGGGCCCGCGUUGGAUUAGCUAGUUGGUAGGGUAAAAGCCUACCAAGGCGACGAUCCAUAGCUGGUCUGAGAGGAUGAUCAGACACACUGGGACUGAGACACGGCCCAGACUCCUACGGAAGGGAGCAGUGGGGAAUAUUGGAGGAUGGGCGAAGGCCUGAUCCAGCAAUGCCGCGUGAGUGAUGAAGGCCUUAGGGUUGUAAUGCUCUUUUACCCGGGAUGAUAAUGACAGUACCGGGAGAAUAAGCUCCGGCUAACUCCGUG
rnacentral:rRNA from 1 species